AGUUAUUAACUAAAAAAAAAAAACUACACUAGAGUUCGAAUCCCAAUAGUGAAAUAUAGAAUUUUUUUAAUGUUAAAAUAUUAUUUGUACGUCAAAAUUAAUCAUCAAAUUCAGUUAUUAUAUAUUUAUAUAUGUAUUUUAGCUUAUUUUAAAUGUGUAUUUUAUACUUAGUUGAUAUUGAUAUCCAAUUAUUCACUAAGGAUGAUUGUUUUUAGAGAAAAUAACAAAUAAGUCUUUAACCUUUUGAUCCGUAGACAUUUAAGUCCUACAAAAUUUAAAAAUACAUUUAAGUUUCUAACUUUUUCAAAACCUAUAUAUAUUAAUCCCUCGUGUUCACCUGGGUCUCCCGUUGUACUACUAAACUGGUUGAUACAAAUGAAAGUUUUUAAAAUUGGACAAAUUAAACUCAGGAAUCGAUAUAUCUAAAUUUUGAAGAGUUCAAAGACUUAAAUAUAUUUUUAAAUCCUCACACUGCAGACCCAAAAAUCAAGGAUCGAUUUGUCCUUUUCUCUUGUUUUUAAUAUCUGUCCGAGUGUAACGAGUGUGUAGCGUAAGGAAAAAAACAAAAAAGAGGGGGAGGGGGAAUAGUAAUAGUUGAUGGUGGUUGGCAGAGACAAAGCAUGGCGGAGAGGGAGAGAGAAAAGUUGGAGAG